CACGUAGGGUGCGAGCGUUGUCCGGAAUUAUUGGCGUAAAGAGCUCGUAGGCGGUGUGUCGCGUCGGCCGUGAAAACCUGCAGCUUAACUGUGGGCUUGCGGUCGAUACGGGCAUCACUGGAGUUCGGCAGGGGAGACUGGAAUUCCUGGUGUAGCGGUGAAAUGCGCAGAUAUCAGGAGGAACACCGGUGGCGAAGGCGGGUCUCUGGGCCGAUACUGACGCUGAGGAGCGAAAGCGUGGGGAGCGAACAGG
rnacentral:rRNA from 1 species